UACAGAGGGGGCAAGCGUUGUUCGGAAUUACUGGGCGUAAAGGGCGCGUAGGCGGCCUGCUAAGUCGGACGUGAAAUCCCUGGGCUCAACCCAGGAACUGCGUCCGAUACUGGUUGGCUUGAAUCCGGGAGAGGGAUGCGGAAUUCCAGGUGUAGCGGUGAAAUGCGUAGAUAUCUGGAGGAACACCGGUGGCGAAGGCGGCAUCCUGGACCGGUAUUGACGCUGAGGCGCGAAAGCCAGGGGAGCAAACGGG
rnacentral:rRNA from 1 species